rnacentral:lncRNA from 1 species
CCCCAUUUUGUUGUUUACCAAUCGGCUUUAUAGCCGAAAGAAAAUAAAAAUGCCAUCUUUGCUAUUGUCCUCUGUUUUUUUGCUUCUGUCUUUUUGCUUCUGUUUUUGCAGGAGUAGGUGCGGCGUCAGAGAGCAGGUGGCUGAAGGGACGUGUGCGGCGGCCAGCAGAGCUAGGGGAAGAGGGCUGCAGCGCUAGGGUUUGCUUAAACGUUUUAGGGGUUUUGGGCUAAUUGGGCUUUUAAUUUUUUGUUUUUUUGGGCCUGUUAUUUUGUUAGGUUAUUUGGGUUUGGGGCGAAAUGGGCUUGUACACUUUUAAUUUUUUGAGCAAUUUAAUUUUUUUAUUUCUUUAUUUUCCUUUUUUUCUUCCCUUUUAUUUUUCUCUCUCCUCAUAUUCUUCACUGCAGAAGCAUAAUCUUUGCCCAACAAAUAAAUCAAGUCAUUGUUUCUUUUACAUGAUUCCUAAAUUGAAUUUCACUCAGAACUGAAUAUCAAUCAUUCUUAAUCAAAUCUCGACUUGAAUAUAACCCACUUUUAAAAAUAAAAUUGGAUCUAACUAAUCAAUAUAAAAAAUC